UCUAAGGAUUUCACAUGAAAGGGUUGUGA
rnacentral:piRNA from 1 species